rnacentral:tRNA from 1 species
GCGACGGUGGUGUAACGGUCAGCAUAGUUGCCUUCCAAGCAGUUGAUCCGGGUUCGAUUCCCGGCCAUCGCA